rnacentral:rRNA from 1 species
GGGGAAUAUUGGACAAUGGGCGAAAGCCUGAUCCAGCAAUGCCGCGUGAGUGAUGAAGGCCUUAGGGUUGUAAAGCUCUUUCACCAGGGAUGAUAAUGACAGUACCUGGAGAAUAAGCUCCGGCUAACUCCGUGCCAGCAGCCGCGGUAAUACGGAGGGGGCUAGCGUUGUUCGGAAUUACUGGGCGUAAAGCGCGCGUAGGCGGCUUUGUAAGUUAGAGGUGAAAGCCCGGAGCUCAACUCCGGAACUGCCUUUAAGACUGCAUCGCUAGAACGAUGGAGAGGUGAGUGGAAUUCCGAGUGUAGAGGUGAAAUUCGUAGAUAUUCGGAAGAACACCAGUGGCGAAGGCGACUCACUGGACAUCUGUUGACGCUGAGGUGCGAAAGCGUGGGGAGCAAA